GACGAACGCUGGCGGCGUGCUUAACACAUGCAAGUCGAACGGAAAGGCCCUGCUUUUGUGGGGUGCUCGAGUGGCGAACGGGUGAGUAACACGUGAGUAACCUGCCCUUGACUUUGGGAUAACUUCAGGAAACUGGGGCUAAUACCGGAUAGGAGCUCCUGCUGCAUGGUGGGGGUUGGAAAGUUUCGGCGGUUGGGGAUGGACUCGCGGCUUAUCAGCUUGUUGGUGGGGUAGUGGCUUACCAAGGCUUUGACGGGUAGCCGGCCUGAGAGGGUGACCGGCCACAUUGGGACUGAGAUACGGCCCAGACUCCUACGGGAGGCAGCAGUGGGGAAUAUUGCACAAUGGGCGGAAGCCUGAUGCAGCAACGCCGCGUGCGGGAUGACGGCCUUCGGGUUGUAAACCGCUUUCGCCUGUGACGAAGCGUGAGUGACGGUAAUGGGUAAAGAAGCACCGGCUAACUACGUGCCAGCAGCCGCGGUGAUACGUAGGGUGCGAGCGUUGUCCGGAUUUAUUGGGCGUAAAGGGCUCGUAGGUGGUUGAUCGCGUCGGAAGUGUAAUCUUGGGGCUUAACCCUGAGCGUGCUUUCGAUACGGGUUGACUUGAGGAAGGUAGGGGAGAAUGGAAUUCCUGGUGGAGCGGUGGAAUGCGCAGAUAUCAGGAGGAACACCAGUGGCGAAGGCGGUUCUCUGGGCCUUUCCUGACGCUGAGGAGCGAAAGCGUGGGGAGCGAACAGGCUUAGAUACCCUGGUAGUCCACGCUGUAAACGGUGGGUACUAGGUGUGGGGUCCAUUCCACGGGUUCCGUGCCGUAGCUAACGCUUUAAGUACCCCGCCUGGGGAGUACGGCCGCAAGGCUAAAACUCAAAGGAAUUGACGGGGCCCCGCACAAGCGGCGGAGCAUGCGGAUUAAUUCGAUGCAACGCGUAGAACCUUACCUGGGUUUGACAUGGAUCGGGAGCGCUCAGAGAUGGGUGUGCCUCUUUUGGGGUCGGUUCACAGGUGGUGCAUGGCUGUCGUCAGCUCGUGUCGUGAGAUGUUGGGUUAAGUCCCGCAACGAGCGCAACCCUUGUUCACUGUUGCCAGCACGUUAUGGUGGGGACUCAGUGGAGACCGCCGGGGUCAACUCGGAGGAAGGUGGGGAUGACGUCGAGUCAUCAUGCCCCUUAUGUCCAGGGCUUCACGCAUGCUACAAUGGCUGGUACAGAGAGUGGCGAGCCUGUGAGGGUGAGCGAAUCUCGGAAAGCCGGUCUCAGUUCGGAUUGGGGUCUGCAACUCGACCUCAUGAAGUCGGAGUCGCUAGUAAUCGCAGAUCAGCAACGCUGCGGUGAAUACGUUCCCGGG
rnacentral:rRNA from 1 species